CACGUAGGCGGCUUGGUAAGUCAGAUGUGAAAGCCCGGGGCUUAACCCCGGAAGUGCAUUUGAUACUGCCAGGCUUGAGUAUGGGAGAGGGAAGUGGAAUUCCUGGUGUAGAGGUGAAAUUCGUAGAUAUCAGGAGGAACACCGGUGGCGAAGGCGGCUUCCUGGACCAAUACUGACGCUGAGGUGCGAAGGCGUGGGUAGCAAACAGGAUUAGAUACCCUGGUAGUCC
rnacentral:rRNA from 1 species